UACGAAGGGGGCUAGCGUUACUCGGAUUGACUGGGCGUAAAGGGCGCGUAGGCGGUUUGUACAGUCAGACGUGAAAUUCCUGGGUUCAACCUGGGGGCUGCGUUUGAUACGUGCAGACUUGAGUUCGGAAGAGGGUCGUGGAAUUCCCAGUGUAGAGGUGAAAUUCGUAGAUAUUGGGAAGAACACCGGUGGCGAAGGCGGCGACCUGGGCCGAUACUGACGCUGAGGCGCGAAAGCGUGGGGAGCAAACAGG
rnacentral:rRNA from 1 species